rnacentral:lncRNA from 1 species
CGACACUGGUGGACUUUCUGGGUCUGCGUGCUCUGCCUGUAUUGUCCACCACUCCUCCGUCCUCUGGGGGAUUAGAAUGGGCGGUACAGAGCACAACGACAGACCUCACUCAUGAGGUAGCCAGAUUGUAUUCAAAGCCCGUCUAUGGCACGUGCAAAGAAACAGGUGGAGAACCCACGCCAGCCCUGUCUGCCUGGGAUACCGUCCCUCUCAGCGACUAACCAGGAACUCAGCCCACCUGCCUGCCCCUUUCCGACACCACUUUGCUGGGCUCAGCUUCAUGACCCUGAACUGAGCAACAAAGUUGAGAAACCAUUGCGACUGAACCAUUGGGAAUUGGGCUGCCGACUGUUCUCAUGAGUCCCAUGCUAGCCUGAGGGCAACCUUAAACUUCUGCCCUGCCUGCCUCCACCUCCUGUGUGCUGGGACUACAGGCACCCAUAUAAAGAGGGGUCUUCCAGCCAGCCCGUGACCCAUCGUGACCUCUACCAUCCUGGGGCAAGGCUUUGAAAGUAGGUUUGAGAGGUUUCCCAGCUGGGGUGAACAGGGAUCCCAGUGGCAGGUGGGAGGGAGUGGGCUGGGAAAACCACAGUGGGCCCUGGGGAGAUGCCUGAAGGGUGCUAUUCUGGAGGACAGCAAGCUAGCGCUCUUCCCUCGCCCG